rnacentral:siRNA from 1 species
UGCUUUGUCGCCUAUGCUAUCGUA